UACGGAGGGUGCAAGCGUUAUCCGGAUUCACUGGGUUUAAAGGGUGCGUAGGUGGGUCUGUAAGUCCGUGGUGAAAUCUCCGAGCUUAACUUGGAAACUGCCAUGGAUACUAUAGAUCUUGAAUACUGUGGAGGUUAGCGGAAUAUGUCAUGUAGCGGUGAAAUGCUUAGAUAUGACAUAGAACACCAAUUGCGAAGGCAGCUCACUACUCAAUCAUUGACUCUGAGGCACGAAGACGUGGGGGAUCAAAACAGG
rnacentral:rRNA from 1 species